rnacentral:rRNA from 1 species
AUUCCGGCUCCAGUAGCGUAUAUCAAUGUUGUUGCAGUUAAAAAGCUCGUAGUUGGAUUUCUGACUUGACGCGCCUGGCCCGCCUUGCAUUUCGCGGGUGAGUGCCGGAGCGCGUCGGUCAUCCUUCUAGAGAACGGCGCUACCCUUCACUGGGUCGGCGUCGCAACCUAGAUCUUUUACUUUGAAAAAAUUAGAGUGUUCAAGGCAGGCUCGCGCUGUGAAUACAUUAGCAUGGAAUAAUAAUCUAGGACUUUGUUCCUAUUUUGUUGGUUUCUAGGAAUUAAGUAAUGAUUGAUAGGGAUAGUUGGGGGUGCUAGUAUUCAGCGGCCAGAGGUGAAAUUCUUGGAUUCGCUGAAGACUAACUUAUGCGAAAGCAUUCACCAAGGAUGUCUUCAUUA